rnacentral:rRNA from 1 species
UGAACGCUGGCGGCAGGCCUAACACAUGCAAGUCGACCGGUAACAGGAAACAGCUUGCUGUUUCGCUGACGAGUGGCGGACGGGUGAGUAAUGUCUGGGAAACUGCCUGAUGGAGGGGGAUAACUACUGGAAACGGUAGCUAAUACCGCAUAACGUCGCAAGACCAAAGAGGGGGACCCUCGGGCCUCUUGCCAUCGGAUGUGCCCAGAUGGGAUUAGCUUGUUGGUGGGGUAACGGCUCACCAAGGCGACGAUCCCUAGCUGGUCUGAGAGGAUGACCAGCCACACUGGAACUGAGACACGGUCCAGACUCCUACGGGAGGCAGCAGUGGGGAAUAUUGCACAAUGGGCGCAAGCCUGAUGCAGCCAUGCCGCGUGUAUGAAGAAGGCCUUCGGGUUGUAAAGUACUUUCAGCGGGGAGGAAGGGAGUAAAGUUAAUACCUUUGCUCAUUGACGUUACCCGCAGAAGAAGCACCGGCUAACUCCGU